CAGUCCGCAAUGUUUCGCCUUUGAACCGGCACGCUAACUCGCUUCUCUCUUCUCCAUUCGUGCACUGUAAGAACAAGUGCACUAUAAAAACAAGUGUGUUACAUUAACACAUUUUACGUGUGUAAUCCAUGUAGUCGUUUUUGACACGCUUGCAGGUGUGUAAAUUAUGUAACACACAAGAAAGUGUAAGGGUAUCAGGUCGGAGUAACUAACGAUUUUCCAACUCGAUACAUCGAGAGCGCUGCCGAAGUCGAUAAGUCGAUAAGUGAAAAGAAAGAGGUAGGAGAGACGGAGUCUUACAAGUGGGAGAGAGGAACAAAAAGGAGCGGGCAAAGAGUUUGAGACAGACACGGAAUAUACACGGGAAGAGAGAAGCGCAAAAGGAUCGUGAGAAGAGAUAUAGAAAAAGUCGAAAAACCGUGUUAGUCGAAUAGUCGAUAAGAUCCCAGGGAAUAUUCGAGCUCAAGCGAAUAUCUCCUUAACGGAUUAGUUUAAAAGGCGUAUAUUUAGAUGAGGCGACGAGACGGUCGUACUGGCGAUUUUAAGAGGAAAUCGUAACUGUCUUACAAAAGUGUGUAGAUUUGCAAGAAACGUGAGGAUAUUGUAUUAAAGGUAGUGAUGGGAAAUGCCGUGACGGUCGGACCUGCGUCUUCUUUUCGAUCCGGAGAGAGAAAAAUACCCAAAGCGCGGUUUGCUGCUAGCUAUGCUGGGACUCGAACCUGGAUUUUUUUUCGCUUGCUGGGCGCUGCACUAAAUCACUGAGCUAUUUGACGUUUCAUGCUCACGACACUUUCUUUCCCAUAUAAUGUCGUAGACGUUACAUAAACUGUUUAGAUAAUAAAAAUAUGAUAAAUAAUAAAUAAUAUAUUAAUAAUAAAAUAAUAUAAUAAUAAUAAUAUAACAAUAAA